GGGGUUGUGGCUCAGCGGUAGAGUGCUUGCUUAGCAUGCAUGAGGCACUGGGUUUGAUCCUCAGCACCACA
rnacentral:tRNA from 1 species